CUGACCCGGGGGGCAGCAGUGAGGAAUAUUGGUCAAUGGACGGAAGUCUGAACCAGCCAUGCCGCGCGCAGGAAGACGGCUCUAUGAGUUGUAAACUGCUUUUGUACAAGGGUAAACCUGAAUACGUGUAUUCAGCUGAAAGUACUGUACGAAUAAGGAUCGGCUAACUCCGUGCCAGCAGCCGCGGUAAUACGGAGGAUCCAAGCGUUAUCCGGAUUUAUUGGGUUUAAAGGGUGCGUAGGCGGAUUGACAAGUUAGAGGCGAACUGUCCGAGCUCAACUCGGGAACUGCCUCUAAUACUGUUG
rnacentral:rRNA from 1 species